CUGUGCCAACAUACAAAGUAAUUAAUUAAUACACAAAAUACAUACAUCAUAAAAGGUUGAUUAAAAGCUAAACAUAAAUGAAAAUUUUGUUGACUUAAACAAUAUUCACAACCUACAAGUUGAAACUUGUAUUUUAUUCGGUGGAAAUUUUUAGGACUUAAGCCCAAAGGGAGCAUCUCAAGCUUUGUAUAGGUUGCUUUAAACAGCUGUGCAUGGUAAGACCUGUAGCCUAUAUCUACUGCUUCAAAAGAAAAGAGACCACUUCUGAUGCUCUCCCAAUGACUUAUUAAAAUAUAAUAGUGAACAUUCAGUGUAUGUAACAAGCUCUUAUAUGCAUCAGCUGAAAAAUAACUACUAUCAUCCACAAUUUACAUAUAUGAAAACCGAGUCUUACAAAGUUCAAAUAACUUGCCUGAAUUCAGAGUCAGGAUUCAAACAGCAUGGUGUGACUUCAAAGCUGUGCUGUAUCAGAACUUUCAUUUUUUAAAGCAGCAUUCUCUCCCAUAGAUGGCCCUGGCUUCAGUCCCUCCUAGCCAGGAUCCAGGAUCUCAUCCCUGGAUCUAUAGUGAGUAGAGCCCCUUUUAACCCCUUCACGGACAUUCUACCUCUCUGAGUCUCAGCUUGUCAGCACAGCACCUUUGCAUGGUCCUACCCUACAUGGACUCCUGAGUCUACAACUCUCUACUGCCCCCACCUGGCACCUAAAAGUACAGACUCCACCACUUCAAUCUAAUUCGUUCCUUAAUGACUACUAGUCCAAUCACCACGUAUAUAACUAAUGACACGCAAUUAUGAAGACAUGCCUGGAAAGAUACACACCCACUUUGGAAUAGUGGCUCCCUGGGGAUGGAAGGAAGGAUAUAGGGUUGACAGUGUACAAAGUGAGACUUCAACAGUAUUUUCAAUGAUUUACCGAAGAGGAAAAAAAUGUUUAAGACAGGUAGUUAACGAACCACUACAGCUCAGAUGUCCCUUGCCUAAACACUUUGUUCAGUCUCUUUGUAGUUUAGAGGAAAUAAAAUCAGCAAGUGAAAUUCUUAAUCUAGAGAGUUUCUAGAUAAGCUUCCAUCUAAAAUGUGUUUUCCAAAGUAGCCCAUCCUGCCACACGGCAAAUCCUCACUUCCACAACAGUGACUUAGAAACGGUUAGAGAAUCACAGAGACACAGUUAUAAAUACUGAACUUACCACCUAGACAAGUCUGGAAAGAAAUGCCUUUCGAAACAAUCUCAUGAUUUCAGUUAAUGCACCAUGACAAGAUGUGCCUUGACAGUUUGCUCAAUCUGUAGCAUUUUUACUCAGAGCUGUAGACAGCAGAAGAAACUUAAUUUUUUAAGUUUUUAAGAAGUUUUUAAGAAGAGUAAUUAAUGCAAAGUUAAUUAUCAUGAAGGCACUGGGAAUUUAAUAUAGUUCUUAGAGAGGGUUUAAUUCCUGGACAUUUUUUUAUCAACAUCUCCUAAACCAUCUGUGCUUCUGCAGUAUGGUUUCUAAACUAAAAUUCUAUGACUGUUUCCACUUGCUCCACGAUAAUUAAGCAAAACUGCGUGUUUUGUUCUAUCUGAUCCCAGUUCAAUUUAAACACCCAUUAAAUGGGAAAUAAAUUAAUGUGGUACAAGUGUGGAUGGAAUCAUCACAAGCUGGCACUUACCCACAGAAACAAACCAUCCACUAAUGAGAUAAUUGGACUCUUUAUUUUGGGGAAAAUACUUGAUGAGAUCAAACGGAGUGCACACAUUCAUGGGCCCCCAUAAAUGAGUCUGUUACAAGAAGGAUAGUAGGUUAAUUUGAAGAAGCUCUUCUAGCACAGGAUAUGCAAGCUCUAGUUAGAAAAACGAGGAGUCCAACGAAAGAUUAAAACAUACUAUCUACGUUGCCCACAUGACGCUGUUUGUCCGACCAAGGUACUGUGACUUUCUUUUAUUCACUACUGUAUUCCCAGUGCUCAGAACUAGGCUUGGUACAUAGCAGGUUUACAUUAAAUAUCUGCUGAAUGUGUGGAUGAAUGUUUUAGAACCCGUAAACUCUAGUUGGGCAGCAGCAAUUCAUCGCAUUUCUAUAAUUUCUCUUAAUACUCCUCCUCAAAAUCAGAUUACUCAGAAAGACCUCUUAGACUGCAGAGAUGAGAUUUGUCUACGGCAGCUGUCCCAACCAUUUGGCACCAGGAACCAGUUUCAUGGAAGACAGUUUUUCUACAGACCGGGGAGGGAGGAAUGGUUUUGGGAUAGUUCAAGUGCACUACAUUUACUGUGCACGUCAUUUCUACUAUUAUUAUAUCAGCUCCACCUGAGAUUAUCAAGCAUGAAAUGCUGGAGGUCAAGGACACUGGUCUAGGGGAACAACAAUUGCAAUAUAAUUUUGCAAAGGGUCUGGCACUAAAAUAAUUUGUGGGCACUAUCAUCUUCCAUUCAACCAAUAUUUAACAGGUAUCCAUUAUGUGCUUGGGUGUAUAUAAAAAGGUGAUAGAGACCCUGCCUUUAAGAAGCUUUAGUAAGAUUAUUGCUAUCUAUUAUUACUAUAUGAGAUAAACAGCCCAAAAAAGUCAUAACAGCACAUAGCACUCAGGGUAGAGUGAAUGAAGAAAACAUUUCCAAGAGCAGUCGUCGUGAAAAACUUCAUGUAAGAGCAGAUAUUUGAGAUGGAUCUUGAAGUACAGGUAGGAUCUGACAAGUGGAGACAGAUACUGCGCUACAGAGAAGCUCAAGGUAAUGUGACUUUUACACAAAGAUUGGAGACAACUAAUUAAUUCUCUGAUGAAUAAAGCAUGCACAUUUAAACUAAUAAAAAUCCCAGGUGGGCACCUGAGAAAGUGUCUGCAGACACAACUGACUUCCACAAACUAGCAUAACGCCACUGGCCCUGGGUUUCCCUGCAUAUAAAACCUGGAGGUUCUUUAAAGGUAUUUUAUGGCUAAUCUUUUAUAGCCCAUGGUAGCUUAAAAAGAAGUAGCUACAAUAUUUGAACCAAAAAAGACAGUUAACGAUACCCCAGCUUUUCUGACCAGGAUGGACUGGAUCUGCCAAACUAGAGUUCUUAGCAGCUGAAGCAGUUAUAGUGCACUUCUGUCUUUCUGGGACAUGUGCUAAGUUAAGGGAUCAAAUGUCCUCUGACUUCCUCAGAAUAGAACCCAUGGAUGUCUAAGUACAUGCUAUUCAAAGUAUGAAACAGAUGACUUUCUGGGGUGGUUAUAGCUCAUUACUAAGCAGGCAAGUGCAUGCACUCAUGUUAUAGGAGUAAAUGAUGUCCAUCACAGAAAUGGAGGCACCACAUCAUACGAUUUUGAAAACCCCAAAUUUUUUACUGAAGUAGAGUUACAAUCUUUUAUCGGUUUCAGGUAUACACACAGCAAUGCAAUGCUUUUAUAGAUUAGACUCCAUUUAGAGUUAUUACAAAAUAAUGGCUCUAUCUCCCUGUAUCAUGCAAUAGAUCCUUCUUGCUCAUUAAUUUUACACACAGUAGUAGUUUGUAGUUCUUAAACCCUUACUCCUGUCUUGCCUUUCCCCGUUCCCUCUCCCCACUGGUAACCACUAGUACUUUCUAUAUAACUGAGUCUGUUUCUGAAACCCCCAACUGUCCCUUAACAAUGUAUCAUAUGCAUCUUUCUAUGAAAUGAGAAACAUUUCUGUGGCAUCUGUUUUAAUGGCUUCAGAAUAGUCUACUACAUGAUGCACUUAAAUAAUUUAAACAGCAUCUUGCCAGUCCUUAACUUAUUUAACCAGUCUGUUUCCAGUGUUGUGCUAAAAUAUGAUGAUCUUUGUAGGUACAUAUUCCAGCACAAGAUUAUUUCUUCGACUGUAUUUCUUAAGAUUUCUGGGUCAAAAUUGGGAGGAGGUGAUUUUUUAAUGUCCUUACUCCCCCUUGCAUUAGUUUCCAUUUGAGACUAGUGUCAGCCUUUAUACCUGGGACAUUCUCUCCCACACUGCGCCCUGAGUUGAGAGGUUUAUUUCUCUAUUUUCUAUAUCCUAUGAUACUCACAUAUUGUCCACAUUAGCGCCUGGUACAUAAUAGCUGCUCAAUGUCCACUGAAUGGAUGAAUGGAUACAUGAAAGAAUGGCAGCUAAAAUUUCAAACUGCUUGCAAAAUGUUCCUUUGAAACAUCCAAAAGGAACACAUUUAAGGUUGAUUCUGGUAAUAAAUAGGCUGUAAAUGUAUGCUGACUUCAAAGAAGGAAGGGUAUUAAGAGGCAUAUUAAAAGUUCAAGACCUGAACAUUUCAGUUUCAAGUUUGCAGUUGGAAUAAAGAGAUUUUGGUGAGGGAUAUGAUGAAUUAUUUAUUAAGUCUCCCUAGCUCUGUUGCUUCUUCAGAAGAUAAUACCUAUUCACUGCCUCAUGAUUUUACAGCUUCCUUACUGGGAAGAAAAUAAUAAUACUGAAAGUUGUCUUUGAUUAUUUUUGUAAAUCAAGACUAAGAAAUUUGGGACUUCACUGGUAGUCCUGUGGGUAAGACCUGCACUCCCCAAUGCAGGGGGCCUAGGCUCAAUCCCUGGUCAGAGAAAUAGAUCCUGCAUGCUGCAACUAAGAGCUCACAUGCUGUAAAAAGAUCCUGCAUGGCACAACAAAAGAUUGAAGAUUUUGUGUGCUGCAACUAAGACCCGACAAAGCCAAAUAAAUACUAAAAAUUAAGGGAAAAAAAAAAUUGGGGAGAUGCCACUUUGACUAAAUGUUCGUGUCUCACAAUGAAAACAUUCCAAAAUCAGUUUGAAUAGUUCAUCUGCAUUAACACUUUGUACCUAUUUAUAUCUAGUGGUACUCUUGCCUAGAAAAUCCCGUGGACGGAGGAGCCUGGAAGGCUGCAGUCCAUGGGGUCGAUGAGGGUCGGACAC
ensembl:lncRNA